UUACACAUGCAAGUCGAACGGCAGCACGGACUUCGGUCUGGUGGCGAGUGGCGAACGGGUGAGUAAUGUAUCGGAACGUGCCCAGUAGCGGGGGAUAACUACGCGAAAGCGUAGCUAAUACCGCAUACGCCCUACGGGGGAAAGCAGGGGAUCGCAAGACCUUGCACUAUUGGAGCGGCCGAUAUCGGAUUAGCUAGUUGGUGGGGUAACGGCUCACCAAGGCGACGAUCCGUAGCUGGUUUGAGAGGACGACCAGCCACACUGGGACUGAGACACGGCCCAGACUCCUACGGGAGGCAGCAGUGGGGAAUUUUGGACAAUGGGGGAAACCCUGAUCCAGCCAUCCCGCGUGUGCGAUGAAGGCCUUCGGGUUGUAAAGCACUUUUGGCAGGAAAGAAACGUCGUGGGNUAAUACCCCGNGAAACUGACGGUACCUGCAGAAUAAGCACCGGCUAACUACGUGCCAGCAGCCGCGGUAAUAC
rnacentral:rRNA from 1 species